UACGAAGGGGGCUAGCGUUGUUCGGAUUUACUGGGCGUAAAGCGCACGUGAGCGGAUUGUUAAGUCGGGGGUGAAAUCCUGGAGCUCAACUCCAGAACUGCCUUCGAUACUGGCAAUCUAGAGUCCGGAAGAGGUGAGUGGAACUCCUAGUGUAGAGGUGGAAUUCGUAGAUAUUAGGAAGAACACCAGUGGCGAAGGCGGCUCACUGGUCCGGUACUGACGCUGAGGUGCGAAAGCGUGGGGAGCAAACAGGG
rnacentral:rRNA from 1 species